CUGCUUUCUACCUGUCUACUCAUUUACCUUUUAGACCUAAAACUGAACUGGAAUUGUAUUCUCCUCCUUCUUUCUUUCAAAGUACUGGACAUUCAUUCAGAUUGGACACAACGUUGAAGACCAAGAUGUUUUAUCCUGAAACAACUGUUGAAGGCCAGAAUGCACAGGGGCCUAACCGGACUAAUGAGAGUGUCUUCCCCAAACAAAAGUGAUCUUUCUGCCUCUAUGGCAGUGGAGACCAAGCAAGCUGGCAGUCUUACAGCACUUAUAAGUAACAGUAUACACACUGAAAAACAGUGUGAGUUGUGGAAGUCUGCCCCAGGACUCAUUGAGCAAGUCACAAUACUCGGAAGUGACACAGGCACAUUAUACACUGCUGAGCACUGGAAAUACCUGCAAGCACUUCUGGGAAUACUUCAGAAGCUUCCACCACUGUUCUGUUUUUUUAAUCAGAUCACAAGUAGGCAGAGAGGCAGGCAGAGAGAGAGGAGGAAGCAGGCUCCCCACUGAGCAGAGAGCGCAGAGAUCCCAGGAAAGCAGAGGCUUUAACCCACUGAGCCACCCAGGUGCCCCUGCUAUCUACAUUUUAAAGAGAUUGUAAAGAUAACAUAUUAAUGUAGUAUUUUGAAGUAUAUUAUAUUUUCAAAGAUUUAUGUUAUUAAAUAGCGAACCGGGAAAGGAACAGAAGGCAUAUAAAGUAAAGGCAAUAAAAACUACCAGUAUUUAUUGAGCUCUUAUCCUUGCCAAAUACUGUUCUAAGUGUUUUUCAUGUGUGAAUCCAUUCCAUCUCACAACUUGAUGAUGUUAUAUAUUAUUAUUUCCAUUAUACAGGCAAGGAAAUUGACUAGCCCAAGGUCAUAAAGCUAAGAAAUAAUAGGUCUGGAUUCAAGCCCAGGAAUUCUGGAUCCAGAGCAAUACACCCUUAUCAGGACAUACAUGCUUAGUCUUCAGUUCCAAGAUAUUGACUAAUCAAACAGAUGGAAUAGUUAUACGGGGAGUAUUUUAUUCAACUUGAAAGUCAUCCUUUGGUGACCAACUAAUCCUAGAUUUAGGUCUAUACUGCAUAUUUUGAAAAGGGGAAUUUGUGAUUGUCUUGUUUAUUCAUAAUCAUAUAAUUUUAGAGCUCAAAAAUAUAGGUACCAUCUAGCCAACUUCCUAAUUUUACUGGUAGAGAAAUUAAGAGUCUUGACUGUAGUUACAGAAUUAAUUAGUAGCAGAUCCCAGACAAAAAUUUGGGCUUCCUAACAUAUUUUCCAGUUCAGGACUCUUCUUUAUUGUACUGUAUUAUUUUCUUUUACCAACCUUUCCCUAUUUCUCCAACCCUACCCUCCAGCAACUGGCAACCAUUUUUCUGUUCUCUUUUAAUAGGAGUUUGAUUUUUUUUUUUUCAUAAGUGAUUCCAUGCAAUAUUUCUAUUGUCUUUCUCAGUCUGACUUCUCUUAGCAUAAUGCCCUCAAGGUCCAUCCAUGUUGUUGCAGAUGGCAGAACGUCCUUCUUUCUCAUGGCUGAAUAAUAUUCCAUUGUGUGUGUGUGUGUGUGUGUGUGUGUGUGCGCCCCACAUCUUCUUUAUCAAUUUAUUUAUUGGACACUUAGAUUGUUUGUAUAUAUUAGCUAUUAUGAAUAAUGCUGCAAUAAACAUGGGAAUACAGGUAUCUUUUCAAGAUAGUAUUUCAUUUCCUUCGGAUAUAUACCCAGAAAUGGGACUGUGGGACCAUACAGUGGCUGUAUUUUUAAUUUUUUAAAGACCCUCCAUACUGUUUUCCAUAUGAGUAUACCAAUUAUAUUCCUAUCAAGAGUGCACAAGGAUUCCCUUUUCUCCACAUCUUCACUAAUGCUUGUUAUCUCUUGUCUUUUUGAUGAUAGCCAUUCUAAAAGGUGUAAGGUGUGAUGUCUUAUUAUGGUUUUGAUUUGUAUUUCCCUGAUGGUUAGUGAUAUUGAACACCUUUCCGUGUAUUUCUUGAGCAUUUGUAUGUCUUCUUAGAGAAAUGUCUGUUCAGAUUUUCUGCCCAUUUUUUAGUCAAAUUGUUGGGUUGUUGUUUGCAGUCGAGUCAUAUGAGUAUCUUAUGUAUUUUGGACAUUAACCUAUUAUAUAAUGAUUUGCAGAUAUUUUCUCCCGUUCUUUAAGUUGCCUUUUCAUUUUGUUGAUGGUUUCAUUUGCUGUGAAGAAGCUCUUUAAUUUGAUGUAGCUGCAUUUACUGAUUUUUGCUUUUGGUAUCAAAUCCAAAAAUCAUUGCCAAGGCCAAUGUCAAGUAACUUGCCCUCUAUGUUUUCUUCUUGGAGUUGUAUGGUUUCAGGUCUUAAGUUCAAGCCUUUGUCUGUUUUGAGUUUGUUUUUGUGUACGGUGUAAGACAGAGGUCCAAUUUCAUCCUUUUGCAUGUGUCUGUCUAGUUUUCCCAGUACCAUCUAUUAAAGAGACUGUCCUUUCUUGGUUCCCUUGCUAUAAGUUAAUUGACCAUAUAUUCAUAGGUUUUUUUCCUGGGAUCUCUAUUCUGUUACAUUGAUUUUUAUGUCUGAUUUUUA
ensembl:lincRNA